AAAAAGUUGUAAUAGAGUAAAGUUGUAAUAGUAAAAAGUUGUAAUAGAGUAAAGUUGUAAUAGUAAAAAGUUGUAAUAGAGUAAAGGUGUAAUAGUAAAAAGUUGUAAUAGAGUAAAGUUGUAAUAGAGUAAAGUUGUAAUAGUAAAAAGUUGUAAUAGAGUAAAGUUGUAAUAUAGUAAAGUUGUAAUACAGUAAAGUUGUAAUAGAGUAAAGUUGUAAUAGUAAAAAGUUGUAAUAGUAAAAAGUUGGAAUAGAGUAAAGUUGUAAUAUAGUAAAGUUGUAAUAGAGAAAAGUUGUAAUAGUAAAAAGUUGUAAUAAAGUAAAGUUGUAACAGAGUAAAGUUGUAAUAGAGAAA
ensembl:lncRNA